rnacentral:rRNA from 1 species
CAGCAGUAGCCGCGGUAAUACAGAGGGUGCGAGCGUUAAUCGGAUUUACUGGGCGUAAAGCGUGCGUAGGCGGCUUUUUAAGUCGGAUGUGAAAUCCCUGAGCUUAACUUAGGAAUUGCAUUCGAUACUGGGAAGCUAGAGUAUGGGAGAGGAUGGUAGAAUUCCAGGUGUAGCGGUGAAAUGCGUAGAGAUCUGGAGGAAUACCGAUGGCGAAGGCAGCCAUCUGGCCUAAUACUGACGCUGAGGUACGAAAGCAUGGGGAGCAAACAGGAUUAGAGACCCCCGUAGUCCCUGUCUCUUAUAC